GGCGAACGGGUGAGUAACACGUGGGCAAUCUGCCCUUCACUCUGGGACAAGCCCUGGAAACGGGGUCUAAUACCGGAUACCACUCCUGCCUGCAUGGGCGGGGGUUGAAAGCUCCGGCGGUGAAGGAUGAGCCCGCGGCCUAUCAGCUUGUUGGUGGGGUAAUGGCCCACCAAGGCGACGACGGGUAGCCGGCCUGAGAGGGCGACCGGCCACACUGGGACUGAGACACGGCCCAGACUCCUACGGGAGGCAGCAGUGGGGAAUAUUGCACAAUGGGCGAAAGCCUGAUGCAGCGACGCCGCGUGAGGGAUGACGGCCUUCGGGUUGUAAACCUCUUUCAGCAGGGAAGAAGCGAAAGUGACGGUACCUGCAGAAGAAGCGCCGGCUAACUACGUGCCAGCAGCCGCGGUAAUACGUAGGGCGCAAGCGUUGUCCGGAAUUAUUGGGCGUAAAGAGCUCGUAGGCGGCUUGUCACGUCGGAUGUGAAAGCCCGAGGCUUAACCUCGGGUCUGCAUUCGAUACGGGCUAGCUAGAGUGUGGUAGGGGAGAUCGGAAUUCCUGGUGUAGCGGUGAAAUGCGCAGAUAUCAGGAGGAACACCGGUGGCGAAGGCGGAUCUCUGGGCCAUUACUGACGCUGAGGA
rnacentral:rRNA from 1 species